GACGCCCGACUUGUGCGCCCGGGAAACCCCGUUGCUCCCUUUCCCCUGGCUGGCAGCGCGGAGGCCGCACGAUGCCUGGAGUUACUGUAAAAGACGUGAACCAGCAGGAGUUCGUCAGAGCUCUGGCAGCCUUCCUCAAAAAGUCUGGGAAGCUGAAAGUCCCUGAAUGGGUGGACACUGUCAAGCUGGCCAAGCAUAAAGAGCUUGCUCCCUACGAUGAGAACUGGUUCUACACACGAGCUGCCUGCUUCAGCUGUAGAGAGGACUCUGCUUUGCUUGAGAAGGAUCCUCACAUCUCACGCACACCCCACCCAGCUUCCACAGCACGGCACCUGUACCUCCGGGGCGGCGCUGGAGUCGGCUCCAUGACCAAGAUCUACGGAGGACGUCAGAGAAAUGGGGUCAUGCCCAGCCACUUUAGCAGAGGCUCCAAGAGCGUGGCCCGCAGGGUCCUCCAAGCCCUAGAGGGGCUGAAAAUGGUGGAAAAAGACCAAGAUGGAGGUGCCAGGUCUGUCCUGCCGUCUGCACCUGCCCCUCAGGCGGGCAGGGGAUUCUGCAGAAAAGCGAACAGUGAGGGGCCUCACCCCGACCUCUCUGGCUGACUACCCCAAGCUCCAGGAAGGGGACGCAAACUGACACCUCAGGGACAGAGAGAUCUGGACAGAAUCGCGGGACAGUCCCCGUUGACACUUCUGUAAAAUGGGGAAAUGCCCGAGGCUGUAAGGAUUAGAUUGGAUGAACACCUGUCAGACCCCAAAUCCAGGUGCCUGGCGUCCCUGGAGUGGGGGGUAUCUGCUCCAAAGCGCCGGAACACAGACCCCACGGCCGAUCUUAAUUACUCUCCCGUCUUUUCCCACAGGUGGCAGCUGCCAACAAGAAGCAUUAGAACAAAUGCUGGGUUAAUAAAUUGCCUCAUUCGUAA